rnacentral:ncRNA from 1 species
CACUCAGGGCGGGGUGAAAUUCCCCACCGGCGGUAAAGUCCGCGAGCCGCAUAAUGCGGUUGAUACGGUGAAAUUCCGUAACCGACGGUAAAGUCCGGAUGAAAGAGU